GGGGAAAAAUUAAUAAUGGGGGUUAUUAAAAAAAGUUUUAAAUAUGAUUAAUGGGGGUUAAAGUAUUUAAAAAAAAAAAAUAAAAAGAUUUAUAGUGAAUUAUGUAUUGAGAAAGAAUUUUGAAAUAAUUUGAAAAAUAAUUUAUUUAAAAGUAAUUUUAGUUUGAUGUAUCUUGUGUAUCAGAGUUUAUUAAGAAUAUAUUUUAGUUAAAAUUUUUUCGAAUUUAAAAGAGUUAAUUAAUUAAAAAAUUUAUUAUUGCAAAAAUAUUUUAAAUAAUUAAUUUGAAAUGAAAUGUUAAUCGUUUUUAAAUAUAUCUAGUUUUUUUAGAAAAAAAUUUAAUUUUAAAUUUUGUUAAAAUUUAAUUUAAUUAAAUUAAAUUAAAUUAAUAUAAAAUUAAAUAAUUUAGGGGAUAAGCUUUAAAUUAAAUUAUUAUAAUUUAAUAGAUAUUAAAAAUUAAAAAUUUUAUAAUUUAAAUUGUUAAAAAAUUAUAAUUUUUUAUAAAUAAUUUUAAUAAAUAGAAAAAUUUUAUAAAAUUUAAUUUUUUAUAAAAAAAUAAUUUUUAUUAAAUUAAAAUUAAAUAUAAUGAUAAAAUUAGUAUAUAAAAUUCAUUUUAAAUUGAAUAUUAAUUUGAUAAUUAAUAAAAAGGAAUUCGGCAAAAAUUUAUUUUCACUUGUUUAUCAAAAACAUGUCUUUUUGGGAAUAAUUUAAAGUCUAAUCUGCCCACUGAUGAAAAUUAAAGGGCUGCAGUAUAUUGACUGUACAAAGGUAGCAUAAUCAUUAGUCUCUUAAUUGGUGACUUGUAUGAAAGAUUGGAUGAAAAAUAAGCUGUCUCUUUAUUAUUUAUAUAAUUUAAUUUUUAAAUUAAAAAGUUUAAAUAAAUUAAAAAGACGAGAAGACCCUAUAGAGUUUUAUAAAUAUUUGAAUAAAUAUUUUUAUAUAAAAAUUAAAAUGAAAAUUACAAUAUUUAUUUUGUUGGGGUGAUAGAAAAAUUUAAUAAACUUUUUUUAAUUAAUUUAACAUAAAUAAGUGAAUAAAAAGAUCCAAAAUUUUUGAAUAAAAGAAAAAAUUACCUUAGGGAUAACAGCGUUAUUUUUUUUUUUAGUUCAAAUAAAAAAAAAAGUUUGCGACCUCGAUGUUGGAUUAAGAUAAAAUUUAAAUGCAAAAGUUUAAAAUUUUGAUCUGUUCGAUCAUUAAAAUCUUACAUGAUCUGAGUUCAAACCGGCGUAAGCCAGGUUGGUUUCUAUCUUUUAAGAAUUAAAAUAUUUUAGUACGAAAGGAUCAAAUAUUGAAAAUAAAUUUUAUUUUUAGAAUAUCAUUAAUAUAAAUAGUUUAAAUUUAA
rnacentral:rRNA from 1 species